rnacentral:rRNA from 1 species
UACGUAUGUCGCAAGCGUUAUCCGGAUUUAUUGGGCGUAAAGCGCGUCUAGGCGGUUUAGUAAGUCUGAUGUGAAAAUGCGGGGCUCAACCCCGAAUUGCGUUGGAAACUGCCAAACUAGAGUACUGGAGAGGUAGGCGGAACUACAAGUGUAGAGGUGAAAUGCGUAGAUAUUUGUAGGAAUGCCGAUGGCGAAGGCAGCCUACUGGACAGAUACUGACGCUAAAGUACGAAAGCGUGGGUAGCAAACGGG